rnacentral:rRNA from 3 species
GGCGGCAAUAGCGCGGUGGUCCCACCUGACCCCAUGCCGAACUCAGAAGUGAAACGCCGUAGCGCCGAUGGUAGUGUGGGGUCUCCCCAUGCGAGAGUAGGACACUGCCAGGC